rfam:Erythranthe guttata cultivar DTN x IM62 scaffold_70_contig_3, whole genome shotgun sequence.
GGGUGCAAUCAUACCAGCACUAAUGCACCGGAUCCCAUCAGAACUCCGAAGUUAAGCGUGCUUGGGCGAGAGUAGUACUAGGAUGGGUGACCCCCUGGGAAGUCCUCGUGUUGCACCCC